rnacentral:rRNA from 1 species
CACGUAUUUAGCCGGGGCUUCCUCCUAUGAUACCGUCAUUAUCUUCUCAUAGGACAGAGCUUUACGAUUCGAAAACCUUCUUCGCUCACGCGGCGUCGCUGCAUCAGGGUUUCCCCCAUUGUGCAAUAUUCCCCACUGCUGCCUCCCGUAGGAGUCUGGACCGUGUCUCAGUUCCAGUGUGGCCGUUCAUCCUCUCAGACCGGCUACUGAUCGUCGCCUUGGUAGGCCUUUACCCUUCCAACUAGCUAAUCAGACGCGAGCCCAUCUUACACCGAUAAAUCUUUGACCCCUAUACCAUGCAGUAUUGUGGUCUCAUGCGGUAUUAAUCGUCGUUUCCAACGGCUAUCCCCCUGUGUAAGGUAGGUUGCUCACGUGUUACUCACCCGUUCGCCACUUUCAUUUUAUUUCCGUCCCCGAAGGUUCUUCCAUAAAAAUCACGUUCGACUUGCAUGUGUUAAGCACGCCGCCAGCGUUCGUCCUGUAGCCAGGAUCAAACUACU